rnacentral:rRNA from 1 species
AGAGUUUGAUCAUGGCUCAGAUUGAACGCUGGCGGCAGGCCUAACACAUGCAAGUCGAGCGGUAGCACAAGAGAGCUUGCUCUCUGGGUGACGAGCGGCGGACGGGCGAGUAAUGUCUGGGGAACUGCCUGAUGGAGGGGGAUAACUACUGGAAACGGCAGCUAAUACCGCAUAACGUCUUCGGACCAAAGUGGGGGACCUUCGGGCCUCACGCCAUCAGAUGUGCCCAGAUGGGAUUAGCUAGUAGGUGGGGUAAUGGCUCACCUAGGCGACGAUCCCUAGCUGGUCUGAGAGGAUGACCAGCCACACUGGAACUGAGACACGGUCCAGACUCCUACGGGAGGCAGCAGUGGGGAAUAUUGCACAAUGGGCGCAAGCCUGAUGCAGCCAUGCCGCGUGUGUGAAGAAGGCCUUCGGGUUGUAAAGCACUUUCAGCGAGGAGGAAGGGUAGUGUGUUAAUAGCACAUUGCAUUGACGUUACUCGCAGAAGAAGCACCGGCUAACUCCGUGCCAGCAGCCGCGGUAAUACGGAGGGUGCAAGCGUUAAUCGGAAUUACUGGGCGUAAAGCGCACGCAGGCGGUUUGUUAAGUCAGAUGUGAAAUCCCCGCGCUUAACGUGGGAACUGCAUUUGAAACUGGCAAGCUAGAGUCUUGUAGAGGGGGGUAGAAUUCCAGGUGUAGCGGUGAAAUGCGUAGAGAUCUGGAGGAAUACCGGUGGCGAAGGCGGCCCCCUGGACAAAGACUGACGCUCAGGUGCGAAAGCGUGGGGAGCAAACAGGAUUAGAUACCCCGGUAGUCC